rnacentral:rRNA from 1 species
CUUGGUCAUUUAGAGGAAGUAAAAGUCGUAACAAGGUCUCCGUAGGUGAACCUGCGGAGGGAUCAUUACACAAAUAUGAAGGCGGGCUGGAACCUCUCGGGGUUACAGCCUUGCUGAAUUAUUCACCCUUGUCUUUUGCGUACUUCUUGUUUCCUUGGUGGGUUCGCCCACCACUAGGACAAACAUAAACCUUUUGUAAUUGCAAUCAGCGUCAGUAACAAAUUAAUAAUUACAACUUUCAACAACGGAUCUCUUGGUUCUGGCAUCGAUGAAGAACGCAGCGAAAUGCGAUAAGUAGUGUGAAUUGCAGAAUUCAGUGAAUCAUCGAAUCUUUGAACGCACAUUGCGCCCUUUGGUAUUCCAAAGGGCAUGCCUGUUCGAGCGUCAUUUGUACCCUCAAGCUUUGCUUGGUGUUGGGCGUCUUGUCUCUAGCUUUGCUGGAGACUCGCCUUAAAGUAAUUGGCAGCCGGCCUACUGGUUUCGGAGCGCAGCACAAGUCGCACUCUCUAUCAGCAAAGGUCUAGCAUCCAUUAAGCCUUUUUUUCAACUUUUGACCUCGGAUCAGGUAGGGAUACCCGCUGAACUUAAGCAUAUCAAUAAGCGGAGGAAAGAAACCAACAGGGAUUGCCCUAGUAACGGCGAGUGAAGCGGCAACAGCUCAAAUUUGAAAUCUGGCUCUUUUAGAGUCCGAGUUGUAAUUUGCAGAGGGCGCUUUGGCUUUGGCAGCGGUC